rnacentral:rRNA from 1 species
AUUGAACGCUGGCGGAAUGCUUACACAUGCAAGUCGAACGGCAGCACGGACUUCGGUCUGGUGGCGAGUGGCGAACGGGUGAGUAAUGUAUCGGAACGUGCCCAGUCGUGGGGGAUAACGUAGUGAAAAUUACGCUAAUACCGCAUACGAUCUAUGGAUGAAAGCGGGGGAUCGCAAGACCUCGCGCGAUUGGAGCGGCCGAUAUCAGAUUAGGUAGUUGGUGGGGUAAAGGCCCACCAAGCCAACGAUCUGUAGCUGGUCUGAGAGGACGACCAGCCACACUGGAACUGAGACACGGUCCAGACUCCUACGGGAGGCAGCAGUGGGGAAUUUUGGACAAUGGGCGAAAGCCUGAUCCAGCCAUUCCGCGUGCAGGAUGAAGGCCCUCGGGUUGUAAACUGCUUUUGUACAGAACGAAAAGGUUUCUACUAAUACUAGGAGCUCAUGACGGUGCUGUAAGAAUAAGCACUGGCUAACUACGUGCCAGCCGCCGCGGUAA